rnacentral:rRNA from 1 species
UACGUAGGGGGCUAGCGUUGUCCGGAAUCAUUGGGCGUAAAGCGCGUGUAGGCGGUCCGGUAAGUCCGCUGUGAAAGUCGGGGGCUCAACCCUCGAAUGCCGGUGGAUACUGUCGGGCUAGAGUGCGGAGGAGGCGAGUGGAAUUCCACGUGUAGCGGUGAAAUGCGUAGAGAUGUGGAGGAACACCGAUGGCGAAGGCAGCCUCCUGGGCCAACACUGACGCUCAUGCACGAAAGCGUGGGGAGCAAACAGG